rnacentral:tRNA from 1 species
GCGCCCGUAGCUCAAUUGGAUAGAGCAUCUGACUUCGGAUCAGAGGGUUGGGGGUUCAAGUCCCUUCGGGCGUA